rnacentral:tRNA from 1 species
GCCUGGGUGGCUCAGUCGGUUGAGCGGCUGACUUCGGCUCAGGUCAUGACCUCACCAUUCCUGGGUUCGAGCCCCACGUCGGGCU